rnacentral:misc_RNA from 1 species
UCGCGCGGCGCCGUCGCCACGAGUCGCCGCGAGGACAGCAAUAAAUACGUUGUGCUGACGGACACAGAUGGCGGGGACAGUUCUGUGUCAACUUUGCAACAAGGGUUGUCGAUUGACUUGGAACGCCGCCUGUUCGCAGUAACCCAGAAUGGAGCGUGGAAAUAAUUUAUAAUCUCCAGUCUCGUAGUUGUACUCUGUUCCUUGAUGAGAAAUUCACUUUGGCGUAUGUGUUUUAGAGUGUUGUGAGUUCUCGUCGAAGAAACGUGUGUUAUGUUGGUCAUCUAUGUAGUCUCGAAAGGAAUAACGUAUCGUUCGCCGAGAAACAUCUAAUUUCGAGUAACGGUUCGAGAAACGAACGACGAUUGCGUUUCCUGCGAGUCAGAAGAGGAAGAAGGGAAAAGAGACCGAUGCGUCUAGAUAGACCGAAGAUAGUGGUCCCUCGGCGAUGUCUCCUUCCCAAGAUUUCCUACCGGAAAGGACGAAAUCUUCCACUUUGGUACCUCUACAGAGUAACUAGAGCGCGUAUUCAGAUACACAGACAGAAGAUGGAAAGAUAAACACCCGGUUGCACGAGUUCUUUUUACGUGCAUUUCAAGGAUCCAAA